UACGAAGGGGGCUAGCGUUGCUCGGAAUUACUGGGCGUAAAGGGCGCGUAGGCGGAUAGUUUAGUCAGAGGUGAAAGCCCAGGGCUCAACCUUGGAACUGCCUUUGAUACUGGCUAUCUUGAGUUCGGGAGAGGUGAGUGGAAUGCCGAGUGUAGAGGUGAAAUUCGUAGAUAUUCGGCGGAACACCAGUGGCGAAGGCGACUCACUGGCCCGAUACUGACGCUGAGGCGCGAAAGCGUGGGGAGCAAACGGG
rnacentral:rRNA from 1 species